AACGAACGCUGGCGGCAUGCCUAACACAUGCAAGUCGAACGAGACCUUCGGGUCUAGUGGCGCACGGGUGCGUAACGCGUGGGAACCUGCCCUUAGGUUCGGAAUAACUCCCCGAAAGGGGUGCUAAUACCGGAUAAUGUCUUCGGACCAAAGAUUUAUCGCCUUUGGAUGGGCCCGCGUUGGAUUAGCUAGUUGGUAGGGUAAAAGCCUACCAAGGCGACGAUCCAUAGCUGGUCUGAGAGGAUGAUCAGCCACACUGGGACUGAGACACGGCCCAGACUCGUACGGGAGGCAGCAGUGGGGAAUAUUGGACACUGGGCGAAAGCCUGAUCCAGCAAUGCCGCGGGAGUGAUGAAGGCCUUAGGGUUGUAAAGCUCUUUUACCCGGGAUGAUAAUGACAGUACCGGGAGAAUAAGCUCCGGCUAACUCCGUG
rnacentral:rRNA from 1 species